AGGGCACCACCAGGAGUGGGGCCUGCGGCUUAAUUUGACUCAACACGGGGAAACUUACCCGGCCUGGACACUGGAAGGAUUGACAGAUUGAGAGCUCUUUCUUGAUUCAGUGGGUGGUGGUGCAUGGCCGUUCUUAGUUGGUGGAGCGAUUUGUCUGGUUAAUUCCGAUAACGAACGAGACUCUAGCCUAUUAAAUAGGCUCCCGGCUUUUAAACGCCGGGAGGACUUCUUAGAGGGACAGGUGGCGGUUCAGCCGCACGAAAGAGAGCAAUAACAGGUCUGUGAUGCCCUUUGUUGUCCGGGGCCGCACGCGCGCUACACUGAAGAGAUCAGCGUGCUUUAUGUUCCUGCUCCGACCGGAGUGGGGAACCCAGUGAACCUUCUUCGUGAUUGGGAUAGAAGAUUGUAAUUAUUCUUCUUGAACGAGGAAUUCCCAGUAAAUGCGAGUCAUAAGCUCGCGUUGAUUACGUCCCUGCCCUUUGUACACCCCGCCCGUCGCUACAACCGAAUUGAACGAUA
rnacentral:rRNA from 1 species